rnacentral:rRNA from 1 species
CGCGUAGGCGGGAACAUAAGUCAGAUGUGAAAUUCCAGGGCUCAACCCUGGAGCUGCAUUUGAAACUAUGUUUCUUGAGGGUAGACGGAGAAAGCGGAAUUCCACAAGUAGCGGUGAAAUGCGUAGAUAUGUGGAAGAACACCAGUGGCGAAGGCGGCUUUCUAGUUUACACCUGACGCUGAGGCGCGAAAGCUAGGGGAGCGAACA